GUCAGUGUGGUGGUCUCAGGUUAGUGUGUAUUGUCACUGUGGUGGUCUCAGGUUAGUGUGUAUUGUCACUGUGGUGGUCUCAGGUUAGUUGGUAUUGUCAGUGUGGUGGUCUCAGGUUAGUUGGUAUUGUCAGUGUGGUGGUCUCAGGUUAGUUGGUAUUGUCAGUGUGGUGGUCUCAGGUUAGUUAGUAUUGUCAGUGUGGUGGUCUCAGGUUAGUUAGUAUUGUCAGUGUGGUGGUCUCAGGUUAGUUGGUAUUGUCAGUGUGGUGGUCUCAGGUUAUUGUGUAUUGUCAGUGUGGUGGUCUCAGGUUAGUUUGUAUUGUCACUGUGGUAGUCUCAGGUUAGUUGGUAUUGUCACU